AUUGUUUUGAUUUGUUUUCAAUUACCUUUGCCACGUGCCACGGAAUGGAAGGGGGCUCGAUCUGCCAUCCUGAGGCGCUAAGGGGCUGAAGUUUUUAAAACAGACGGCAAUAUUUUGCUGACGCCUUGAAUCAAGCUUUUGACUGAGACCCACGAUGUCUUUCUUAUUCUGCGUCGAACACUUUCCUACAAGUAUGAAUUUCAUUGUUUUUGCUUUGUUCAAUUUUAUAGUAUUCAAAAUGUCAUGCUGAUGUGAUUAACAAGUGUCUAACGUUCAACUCUUCCUUCCAUAUUUAGUUGCUUCCACAAAUUAAACUCUGAGGAUUGUAAUGUAAAUCUAGAAACAGAGUAAGAUAAUAUCGGCUUUGGAGUGAAUAUUUGGUUACCUUUGUAAAGUUCUGAAUUUUUUAUGAAUGGUUCUCAUGUACCAG